rnacentral:tRNA from 1 species
UCCCAUAUUGUCUAGUGGUUAGGAUACCUGGCUCUCACCCAGGAGAACCGGGUUCAAUUCCCGGUAUGGGAA